UACAGAGGGUGCGAGCGUUGUCCGGAAUUAUUGGGCGUAAAGAGCUCGUAGGCGGCUUUGUCACGUCGGAUGUGAAAGCCCCGAGGCUUAACCUCGGGUCUGCAUUCGAUACGGGGCUAGCUAGAGUGUGGUAGGGGGAGAUCGGAAUUCCUGGUGUAGCGGUGAAAUGCGCAGAUAUCAGGAAGAACACCCGUGGCGAAGGCGGCUCUCUGGGACGGUACUGGACGCUGAGACGCGAAAGCCGUGGGGAGCGAACAGG
rnacentral:rRNA from 1 species